rnacentral:rRNA from 1 species
UACGUAGGGUGCGAGCAUUGUCCGGAAUUAUUGGGCGUAAAGAGCUCGUAGGCGGCCUGUCACGUCGGAUGUGAAAGCCCGGGGCUUAACCCCGGGUCUGCAUUCGAUACGGGCAGGCUGGAGUUCGGUAGGGGAGAUCGGAAUUCCUGGUGUAGCGGUGGAAUGCGCAGAUAUCAGGAGGAACACCGGUGGCGAAGGCGGAUCUCUGGGCCGAGACUGACGCUGAGGAGCGAAAGCCAGGGGAGCGAACGGG